rnacentral:rRNA from 1 species
CACGUAGGCGGUCAAGCAAGUUGGUGGUGAAAGCCCUCGGCUCAACCGGGGAAUUGCCCCCAAAACUGCUCGACUUGAGUCCCGGAGAGGGUGGCGGAAUUCCCAGUGUAGCGGUGAAAUGCGUAGAUAUUGGGAGGAACACCAGUGGCGAAGGCGGCCACCUGGACGGGUACUGACGCUGAGGUGCGAAAGCGUGGGGAGCAAACA